GCCUGGGUGGCUCAGCGGUUGAGCAUCUGCCUUCAGCACAGGACUUGAUCCCGGAGUUCUGGGAUCAAGUCCCACAUCGGGCU
rfam:Canis lupus familiaris chromosome 4, whole genome shotgun sequence.